rnacentral:lncRNA from 1 species
AUUUUUUUGAACCUUGAAUAUGCACAAAUAAAUUCGGUGCCUAUUCAUCACCGGGAAUGUUAAUCUGUGUUUGUGAUACAAAGCCUAGUAUACGUGCAUUAUUUAAAAUGUCCUGUGGUUUCAACUUUGUUAAGAUUUAUGAGAUGGGAGAUGUGUUUGCACUUGAAUUAAGUUUGAAAGGGUGCUCAUCAUCUAUCAAGAAAACUUUAAUCCUAGCAGCCACCAUUUCCUGUUUCUACAGGUACUUCUACUUGUAAUGACGGAGCUCGAUAUUCCUCAGAAAUGUCAGCUCUACAAUGUGGAAACUCAGCCCAGCUCUCAAACCUUGGGAAAAUUUUAUGGUUUUUCCAACACAUUAAAGAUAAACCCUCUUUGUGCUUAAAUUAGCCUGAGUUGGCAUGUGUUGGUGACACUAGAGAAGCUGACCGGUAGGAACUUCUAAUGGACCAGCCCUGUCUGGAAGAUGUGCAGCAAGUGUUUCACUGUUUCUGCUCACCCUGAGAUGCUGGCCCAGCUGCUCAUGCUUUCCCAGACUCCCAAUCUCCCCUCACUCCCUUCCACCAUGUAUCUGCUCGCCAACCUGCCCUGCCCAACAACCUUCUUUCUUUCUUAGACCCUAACUCAAAAAGCACUGCUUCCUCUCUCUUCUCCGUCUCCCUCUUCCGGG